UGAAUCUGCUCACCCAAAUAAACCAAGGAACCUUUUUUUCUGGCUUUGCUUCCUCGUGACUGAAGGAGUUUCCUCAGUGCCUGGGUGAAGGAUGGCAGGAGGUGCAAAUCCUGGUACCCACCACCUAGAGCUGCAGCCACACACUGGGACCCACCAAAAUAAUCUGAUUUUUCAGCAUCCAUCAUCCUCAAUUAAAGGAUUCAUGGAAUGUGUGGAAGGGACAAAUGGUGAAGUUAAAUGAGAAUUUCUUUGAUACAGAAGCAGGAGAUGAACCAGGCCUGCAUCACCUGCAUUAAAAGGACAAACCUGUCAG